rnacentral:rRNA from 1 species
AGUGAACGCUGGCGGUAGGCCUAACACAUGCAAGUCGAACGGCAGCACAGUAAGAGCUUGCUCUUACGGGUGGCGAGUGGCGGACGGGUGAGGAAUACAUCGGAAUCUACUUUUUCGUGGGGGAUAACGUAGGGAAACUUACGCUAAUACCGCAUACGACCUACGGGUGAAAGCAGGGGAUCUUCGGACCUUGCGCGAUUGAAUGAGCCGAUGUCGGAUUAGCUAGUUGGCGGGGUAAAGGCCCACCAAGGCGACGAUCCGUAGAUGGUCUGAGAGGAUGAUCAGCCACACUGGAACUGAGACAAGGUCCAGACUCCUACGGGAAGCAGCAGUGGGGAAUAUUGGACAAUGGGCGCAAGCCUGAUCCAGCCAUACCGCGUGGGUGAAGAAGGCCUUCGGGUUGUAAAGCCCUUUUGUUGGGAAAGAAAAGCAGCAGGUUAAUACCCCGCUGUUCUGACGGUACCCAAAGAAUAAGCACCGGCUAACUUCGUG